rnacentral:lncRNA from 1 species
GCAGGGCUGGCCUGUCCCAUGUCGGGGCCUGGUGAAGCCCCUCUCCCACGAGGGGCUUUGGCUGGGGCCCACGGGGCCUUGUGGGGCACGGCAGGGAUCAGAGGGCAUCCCGGCAUCUGUGGAAGUCUUCAUGCAGCUUCCCCCUGGAUCUGACCACGGAUUUUAUGAUGCAUUCUGCCCAGAAACUCAGCAGAAGUGGCCACUUCUUCCCUUUUGAGACUAACAGUGAGUGUUUAAAAGCCCGGGCGGGUUUUCCGGGGCUGCUGGGGGCUGGGACCGUGGGCAGGGCGGGAAGGACACGGUCGCUGGCCCGGAGGCGAGGUCGCCCUCUGCUGGCCUUCCUCCCUGGGGCAGCGGCGUGGGUGGGGCCCGGGGCUGCCGCCCCACCUUCUGGAAGCUGCCUGCAGGGCGGAGCUGAAAG